CCAGCGGUGCUGAUUAGGGGUUGUUCUUACUCUCCCUUGCAAUUAUUUUGUACUUGUAGGGGUGCAUGUAGGCACGGUCCUUGUGAUGCGGUACGUGAUGGUGUGUGAGUGGUAUUUGGUUUGUGUGGUUGGCGGGCUCUUUGCUUGUGCAUUGGACCGUUCACCAACAUACCUUUUCAUUGUAUGCUGCAAGUGCACCAUUUUGCCUUGGGCGACGUGUGGUCCCUAUGUUGGAUUCCGAUUAACGGUAUUGUUGUUGUCCCUUUAAAGAGUGAUAUUCGCUCUACGUCCGUAAAAGGAGGUCGAGCGGACCAUGAAACUUGACUCGUUAUCCUCCUGUUUUGUGAAAACAAGCAUGAUAGGGUUGGAUUAUGAUCUCAAGUUGGGCCCUAGGAUACAGAAAGUUGUGUGGGAGUUGAUGUAAAAACGUCGCAAACCCAAAGCGUUGGUACGCUAAUGAUGGAUGACAUUCGAGUGUGUUGUGAUUCUUUCAUUCUAGAAAGGUUCAUGCUCGCCGAUGUCGACCAAGGAGUGCUACCUGGUUGAUCCUGCCAGUAGUCAUAUGCUUGUCUCAAAGAUUAAGCCAUGCAUGUGUAAGUAUGAACUAAUUCAGACUGUGAAAC
rnacentral:misc_RNA from 1 species